rnacentral:rRNA from 1 species
GACGGAGGGGGCAAGCGUUGUCCGGAAUCACUGGGCGUAAAGCGCGCGUAGGUGGUCUGGUGCGUCGGUGCUGAAAGCGCCGGGCUUAACCCGGCGAGGCGUGCCGAUACGACCCGACUAGAGGCAGCGAGAGGGUAGCGGAAUUCCGGGUGUAGUGGUGAAAUGCGUAGAGAUCCGGAGGAACGCCAGAGACGAAGGUGGCUACCUGGUGCUGGCCUGACACUGAGGCGCGAUAGCGUGGGGAGCAAACCGG